UACGUAGGGUGCAAGCGUUGUCCGGAAUUAUUGGGCGGUAAAGAGCUUGUAGGCGGUUUGUCGCGUCUGCUGUGAAAUUUCGGGGCUCAACCCCGAACUUGCAGUGGGUACGGGCAGACUAGAGUUGUGGUAGGGGAGACUGGAAUUCCUGGUGUAGCGGUGAAAUGACGCAGAUAUCAGGAGGAACACCGAUGGCGAAGGCAGGUCUCUGGGCAUUAACUGACGCUGAGGAGCGAAAGCAUGGGGAGCGAACAGG
rnacentral:rRNA from 1 species